AUUUUAAUUUGCCAACAAAUCCUAAUGUGGACUUUGUCACGUUGUGAAAUAAAGUGAUUUUUUGGUAUGGAAAUAUGUGUUAAGACAGACUGUUAGUCUUUGCACUUUAACAACUAGCUGAUACACUUACGUCACAUGGAUGAAAACAUACACAAGUGCACUGUUGUUGGAUAAGGACUCCUGGGUGGUUAGAAGAAUGUGCAGAUCUAACUACUCCCAUUAAGACCAUUGAUUAAAAUGAAAAAUGCUUAUAAAGGUGGAGAUCUCUCAGUUUUAGUCUUAUUGCGUGCCAGAAGCACUAAGGAAUUGCUGCUAAAUAUAAGACAAAUGGACUUGAGGAAAUCACUGAUGACUAACUUGAAACUCUGCCUCCUGAGAUCACACAGAUGAUGAAGAUCAUGUCUCCAAGUCUUUUCUGCCGUUGCCAGUAUUCUCUCCCAAUCUCCUGUGGGCAACUUCUUCGGGAAAACACUCAUGCAAUUUCAUAAGGACAAGCGAAAAUAUGAAGAAGCUGGAUCUUGGAACUAGGCUUUGAUCACAGAGCGGAGCUGAGAUGAAAGUCCAUCCACUCAUUCAACAAAUAAUUGAGUACUUACAAAAAUUUCUGCUGUAUGGAGCUUAUAUAGUAGUGAAUAUCAAUUCUUAUUUUAUGGAUUAUAAAACAGAACUUUUUGCAACAAUUUUACACUACCCUAGGGGUACCUAUGAGUCUUCAUGCCUCAAGUAAUUGUCCUGUCCAUGUGACUAUGGAAGCCCUGAAAUCUUUGAAACCCCAGAUGACCCAUUUCACCAGACGCUUGGACAUUCUCCGUCGAGUUUGGAUUUAUAGUGGGUACCCAGAUUUAGGUCAAGGACAUAAAAUCUGAACCACUUUAGGCACUGCUCAUAAGGAGUAAAUUCCUAGUGAAAAAGCAAUGUCCCUCAGGAAUGAUUGCUAUAGCAGGCUAAAAGGUAGAUUUAUAAAUGUUUAUAAAAAGCAGAUUGGAUUUAGCAGAGGUAGCAGUGAUGACCAGGAGCAAUAGGAGGAAAUGUUCUUAAUAGUGCUGUUUGGUGGCAUCUUCUUUUUAUACAAAGAAGUCUUGCAAGCAUUUCUACUUGAAUGACUAAUUUGGAGUAAUUUUUAGUUUCUGUAUUUUUAUUAGUUAAUAGGAUCUAGGAAUAUAAUAACCUGGUGAGAAUUUCUUCGUGAAUGGCAAUCAAAUUUGUCUUAUUCAUGAAACUCAUAAAUAAGCUAUAAUCCAGCAUUUUAUAACUAGGGAAAAUAAAACUGGGGUCCUGCUGUUUAAGAGGCUAAGGCAAUUUAACAGAACACUGGGGGAUUUAUAGUAGAUUUAUGAUGAAGAUACAUUCUAACUGGAAGCUUAAUUGUGAUUUAAAUUAUAGGUCAAGCUGAGCAAUGUGUUUUCUUUUUAGGGGGAAAUCUUUAGAGAGUUAGAGUGUGCUUGUUUAAAGAGGAAACAGACCAAAUGAGAAAACAGAUUGCAUUUUCUGUUUUUCUUUUAAAAUUUCAAGCUGCUUUAAGUCAAAUUGCCCCUGAGUUCCUGAUGAUGGCUGUGGUGAAAUUGCCUUGUUUUACUUUCUUGCCUUCUUUUCCAGAGCAGUUAUUUUACCUGAAAAUAACAAAAAGAUAUAGGCAGCAUAUCAGCCAGAAAACUAAUAUGGAAACCAGAGAUAAAGUAUACUCAACCUGCCUAGAAUUGUGACAUCCUAUAAUUUUAGGCUGAGUUGUAUAAAAUUAGCAAGUAAUAUGGAUGAAAGGGCCUUUGAAAAAUUUUUGCCACUCAUUUUGCAAAUGGGAAAAUUGAGGCUUCUAGUGGUUUUCCUAAAUUUUUUAUCUCAAGUACUUUAAGGUCUCAUGAGGAAAUAAAAUUUAUGUACAAAUAAUUUUAAUUAAAAGUAUAAAAAGUUGUUUCCCUGAAAAAUAAAACUUAAAACAGAUAACAAAAGGUUGAUUCUGUAAGGAGGAUUUCUAUUGGGAAAAGGACAGUUAGAUUUGACAGCCCAGAUGCUUACUCUCUAACAUUUCCCUACCCCUUGGCAGAAUCCUUCAAUAAUUAACACCAGGACAACCACAUAGACUUCAGCCAUGGGUGUGUCAGGGGCAUUUGAACCAGAGCAACUCCAUCUUGAAUAGGGUCUGGGCAAAGUGAGGCUGAGACCCACUGGGCUGCAUUCCCAGGAGGUUAGGCAUUCUUAGUUACAGGAUGAGAUAGGAGGUUGGCACAAGAUACAGGUCACAAAGACCUUACUGAUAAAAUAAUAUGGUACAGAAGCUGGCCAAAACCCACCAAAACCAAGAUGGUGACGAAAGUAACCUCUGGUAGUCUUCACUGCUCAUUAUGUGCUAAUUAUAAUGCAUUAGCAUGCUAAAAGACACUCCUACCAGUGCCAUGACAGUUUACAAAUGCCAUAGCAAUGUCAGGAAGUUAUACUAUAUGGUCUAAAAAGAGGAGGAACUCUCAGUUCUGGGAAUUGCCCACCUCUUUCCUGGAAAACUCAGGAAUAAUACACCCCUUGUUUAGCAUAUAAUCAAAUAACUAUAAGUAUAAUCAGUCAAGCAGCCUAUGCCACUGCUCUGUCUAUGGAGUAGCCAUUCUUCUAUUCCUUUACUUUCCUAAUAAACUUGCUUUCACUUUACUCUGUGGACUCACCCCAAAUUCUUUCUUGCAUGAGGUCCAAGAACCCUCACUUAAAGUCUUGAUCAGGACCCUUUUCUGGUAACAUCUUCCUGGUGACCACAAUGAGAUUAAACUAAGGAGACUCCCUACCCAAAAGAAAUAGAUUAGAUCACCAAUUGUAUGACUUUGGGUAAGUGAUAGGAACCAUUUUACCUGGUUAAAGGAUGGAAUUGGGUUAGAGGCCCAACUUAGGAGAGUUAGAGCCUCUCCUAAGACAGAGAGCUUAAAGGCCCCUCUUAAUAAAAGGCAAGGACGCUUGAUGGAACUUAGGUUCAAGGCCCAAACUAGGAAGGUUAGAGUCCUUCCUAAGAUUAAGGGGGUUAGAAGCUCCUCUCAGUAAAGUCCUUCUUGGUUAAAAAUGGAUUUCACAUUAUGGGAUAUUAACCAUUAUUCUCUUUGUAUUAAUCUGCCUUGCACUGUUUGCUGAUGUCUGUGGGUGACAGGAUUAGGUGUAUAUAGGAUCACUGGAUAUGGGGAGCAUUUUCUCCCUAAAGGGGAAAUUUGAGAGCUGAUGAGACAAUUGGCCACCUGAACUUUAGAUUCAGUGUUGCUGCAAUGGAUCGGUCUUGUCUGGCCUCCCUGAGCUCCUCAUUUUCCUCACCCUGCUGCAGGCAAUGCUUUUCUCCCUUUCUUUCUUUCCUUUCUCUUUUCUAUCUUUUCUGUUACUCAGGGCAACUGUCUACGGUUUCAGUUUGCCCAGAAACCACAUGUGGAAACUCCUGGUCAGAAGAUCAUUCCACACCAAUUUGAGUGGAUCAAAGAUGAAAAGGCCCAACUAGAAUCAUGUUUGAGCCUUCCCAGUUUGAUACUGGGUGCUAAGCAGAGUGGCUAAUGUCUAUGUUUUGUCACAUUUAUUUUGCUCUGGCUGGUUUGGAAGAUGUUAAUUGGGUUACCCCAUGCAAUCUCUUGGGUGACAUCUUGCAAAAUUGAGAGGCUUUUGCCUAUGGUUUCAUGAAAUGGAAAAAGGUGAUUUUCCUUUGUGUUGUGGUUUGGCCCCUAGGGCUAUGGUGCCACAAGACAGGUCACUAGGGCUGCUCAGGGAAAGGGAACCCAGAAGCCUGGCAUGCCAGCAAAAGGGUAAGAAUUUCUUACCAUUCAGACUUCUGGCCUCUCUGUGCAAACGAGUUAUAGGAAUGGUAAACAUCCCUCUUUAUUCCUGUGUAAAGUUUUAAUUAAUAGGAAAAAGAAUUUUCCCAUUAAGUUAGUCUUAAGCUGUAGUGAAUUUGCUGUACUUUGUGCUAUAAAUUUGUCUUUCCAGAUUGUUCUGUCAGAAGGAGGGUUACCUUAGGAUAGAAUACAGGCUUAAGCCCCCAUUUGGUGGUUAAUACUGAGUAUCAAAUUGAUUGGAUUGAAGGAUGCAAAGUAUUGUUCCUGGGUGUGUCUGUGAGGGUGCUGCCAAAGGAGAUUAACAUUUGAGUUGGUGGACUGGGAGAGGCUGACCCACCCUCAAUCUGGAUGGGUACCAUCUAUUCAGCUGCCAGCUUGGCUAGGAUAAAAGCAGGCAGAGAAAUGUGGAAAGACUAAACUGGCUGAGUCUUCUGGCCUCCAUGUUUCUCCCAUGCUGGAUGCUUCCUGGCCUUGAACAUCAGACUCCAAGUUCUUUAGUUUAGGAUUCUUGGACUUAAACCAAUGAUUUGCCAGUGGCUCUUGGGUCUUCAGCUACAGACUGAAGGCUGCACUAUUAGCUUCCCUACUUUUCAGGUUUUAGGACUGGGACUGGCUUCCUGGCCUCUCAGCUUGCAGAUGGCCUAUUGUGGGACUUCACCUUGUAAUCAUGUGAGACAAUUCUCCUAAUAAAUUUCCCAUUCAUUUAUUCAUCUAUCUGCUAGUUCUGUCCCUUCAGAGAACCCUGACUAAUACACCCUAUAAGACUGCUGUUCAAGACAGCCCAUCAAACUGGUCACUUACAAACUUUGCUUCAGAUCCCUGAAACAAAACAAAACAAAACAAAAACAAAACUGAAGUUCCCCUCUUGUCUUGUUUUAUGUUCUUGGGAGCUUGACCUUAUAACCAUGUGGCAGUACUUCCUCUUUGUCUCUGCCAUUCAGAGAACAGGAACUUUGGGGUUCAUAUCAUAGUUAGCCCUAAAAAUUAUAUUGAGCAGUUAAAAGGCUUUGCAAGCUCAAAAUUGGCUGCUCUAGACUCCUUCUGGGAAGGGCAAUGGAGACUGCCCAGUGCCGUAGAACAACUUCUGACUUCCUUUCUUGAAUUUUCCUUUUUCUGAGUACCUGGGAGGUUACCUUUGGUAAAGUUCAAAAGCUACAAGUAUUUGCUGUUUUGCCUGGCUAGAGUCUGAUAAUGAGAUUUUUUUUUUUUAAAAGAAUGCUAUGGUUAAAAGUCAGCUUAAUUAAAAGUGGAUAUUCAAGCUCUAACAGCCUGGGACUCCUUGGGAAAAACAGGAGGCACUACAGACCCUGUUUGAGGAAAAACCUCUGCUUUCUUCAUGAAAACCCAGAAAUUGAAAUCAGAUAGAUCCCUCUCAAAAUCUAAGGCUCUCCUCUGUUUUGCACUGUGAUGUCUGACAGUAUUGACUUUUAGGGGUAUCAGAAAUUACUUUGCAUUAUGAGAGAGCUUUGGUGUGUAAUAACUAGGUAGGAAAUAUACUUUUGGGGAUGGCUAAUGGCAGUUAUAGGGAGAUACUUGGCAUUUUGCAUGUUUGGAUUAGAGAAUCAUGUUCUUGGCCACCUAGAAAGUAUGAAAAUGUCCCCAUUCCCCACUGAGAGAUGAGACUCCUAUGGGAGAUGGGUUGAUUCCCUCUUUUUUAAAAUUUAACUUUAAGUUCUGGGAUACAUGUGCAGGAUGUGCAGGUUUGUUACAUAGGUAAGCAUAUGCCAUGGAGGUUUGCUGCACCUAUCAACCUAUCAUCUAGGUAUUAAACCCCACAUGCAUUAGCUAUUUAUCCUGAUGCCCUCCCCGACAGGCCCCAGUGUGUGUUGUUCCCCUCCCUGUAUUCAUGUGUUCUCAUUGUUCAGCUCCCACUUAUAAGUGAGAACAUGUGGUGGUUGGUUUUCUGUUCCUGUGUUAGUUUGCUGAGGAUAAUGGCUUCCAGCUUCAGCCAUGUCCCUGCAAAGGACAUUAUCUCAUUCCUGAUUCCCUCUUUUCUUUGGGGAUCCAGGAUCUAAUAUAAAAAUGAGACCCUUAAUUUUGGGGCUCUGCUUUGCCUUCCAGCUGUGCCUGCUUAUUAGGCCCUGGAAACUGCAUGCUUUCCCAGUCCUGUUCCUCCAAGGGCUCCACCCUAAAGCCAGCAAUCCAAUUAAGAAACUUAAUGGAUUGUAAGCAAAUGGAAAAUCUUCCAAGUACUGGAUUUUCUGUCUGUCUGCAUAUUUACAUGUGUUGUGUGUGUGGUGUUUAUAUAUAAAAGAGCUCUGAUUAAUUGGUUUAAAGAUAAUAGGCAAUUAAAUCAAAUAUUAUCAGAAAAAUAAAAACAAAUGCCUUUUACUUCACGUGACUUUAAUAAUCUUUAGGAAUUAGAGACAGUUUUAAAGAUUAUUGGUAAAAUAAAGACAUUUGGUCUAAAUUGCGCCAGUCAGAUUUAGGUUUGCCAAAUGCUUUAAUAUCAUAAAGUGCUUUUUUAACUUGAUAAUUGUUCAACUUACCUGCUUUGGAGCCAUUAGAUUCCAGGUAAGGCAUGGGAACAUGUGGAGUUAGCCAUGCCCCCGGCUAUGCUGAAAAAGGACCUUAUCUGGACUUAUGUCUAGUGUCUUAGGCUCCACACCUGAUAGAUAAUUAAAAUCCUUACUUACCAGAUUUUUCACCAAAAAUAAAAGUUGCUCAGUUAGCAUUGUAACGUUUAAUUGAGUCUACUGAAUAAGCAGUUUUACAUACAAGGUGUGUAAGGACAGUGACGUGUUUUUGGUAAAAAAUUAUAAGAAGGCAUGGGAAUACGGAUUUUUUUGGCCUAGUUUAGAGGCUUAAAAACUUUUUUCAAGCUAGAUAGAAAAAAGCUGAAGGUUUAAACAAGUUGUGGAAGGUUUGUGAACAAUUAAUCUUAUAAAAGAAAUUCUGUGUGUGAACAUAUUAGCUAAAAUUAAAGGAGGUAUUAUUCAGUUUUUUUCAUAAAUUGAACAUUGGAAUAAAAGCACAACAGGGUUUUCUUAGAGCAGUGAUCUACUCUUUAAGAAAAAAUUGUAAAGGGUUAUAAAAGGUUUAUGAGAAUCUUACCUUAUGAUCUAACUGAUUAAGAUUGGAUAGAUUAGUCUAUAAGGUUUUUUUUUUAAGAAUUAGGUUUGGCAUCAAUACUGCAUUAAUGCAAAGGUGAAAUUUGGCUUUCUCUGUUGAACAAGGUUUUCAUGUUAUAUUAAAAAAUACGAAAAUGUUUUUGUUUGCCUUUUAAAUAAACUAU
rnacentral:lncRNA from 10 species